rnacentral:lncRNA from 1 species
AAAUUGCCAUGACAUUUCUCCAAGUCUCCAAAAGAAAACAUACAUCACUUACCAUCGCAUAGCACAGUUCGGUCAGAAAGCUAGGCCAUGCAUCAAACGAGUACUAGUUAAGAAAUCAGAAACGAGGGUUCCCAAGAGAUGCAUAUCACAUCGUUUACUAUUUCAGAUCGGUACAUGACACGGCAACAUCAGCAAUCAAACCAAAAAUCAGCAUUCCACCAGUUUUAGAUACACGGCAGCCAACUACAGUUCCUGAGACGCAAACAUGGCAAUCUAAGAGGAGGUGAACUUGGUGACGGCCUUGGUGCCCUCGGAGACGGCGUGCUUGGCGAGCUCGCCGGGGAGGACGAGGCGGACGGAGGUCUGGAUCUCCCGGGAGGUGAUGGUGGGCUUCUUGUUGUAGCGGGCGAGCUUGGCGGCCUCGCCGGCGAGCUUCUCGAAGAUGUCGUUGAUGAAGGAGUUCAUGAUGGAC